rnacentral:rRNA from 1 species
UACGGAGGGGGGCUAGCGUUGUUCGGAAUUACUGGGCGUAAAGCGCACGUAGGCGGCUUUGUAAGUUAGAGGUGAAAGCCCGGGGCUCAACUCCGGAAUUGCCUUUAAGACUGCAUCGCUAGAAUUGUGGAGAGGUAAGUGGAAUUCCGAGUGUAGAGGUGAAAUUCGUAGAUAUUCGGAAGAACACCAGUGGCGAAAGGCGAC